rnacentral:rRNA from 1 species
AACGAACGCUGGCGGCAUGCCUAACACAUGCAAGUCGAACGAAGCCUUCGGGCUUAGUGGCGCACGGGUGCGUAACACGUGGGAAUCUGCCCUUCGGUUCGGAAUAACAGUUAGAAAUGACUGCUAAUACCGGAUGAUGACGUAAGUCCAAAGAUUUAUCGCCGAAGGAUGAGCCCGCGUAGGAUUAGGUAGUUGGUAGGGUAAUGGCCUACCAAGCCGACGAUCCUUAGCUGGUCUGAGAGGAUGAUCAGCCACACUGGGACUGAGACACGGCCCAGACUCCUACGGGAGGCAGCAGUGGGGAAUAUUGGACAAUGGGCGCAAGCCUGAUCCAGCCAUUCCGCGUGCAGGACGAAGGCCUUCGGGUUGUAAACUGCUUUGUACGGAACGAAAGACCCUUCUCUAAUACAGAGGGGUCGAUGACGGUACCGUAAGAAUAAGCACCGGCUAACUACGUG